UACAGAGGUCCCAAGCGUUGUUCGGAUUCACUGGGCGUAAAGGGCGCGUAGGUGGUGAGGUAAGUCGGAUGUGAAAGCUCCGAGCUCAACUCGGAAAUGGCAUUGGAAACUACCUUGCUCGAGGGUUUGAGGGGGGACUGGAAUACUUGGUGUAGCAGUGAAAUGCGUAGAUAUCAAGUAGAACACCAGUGGCGAAGGCGAGUCCCUGGAAAACUCCUGACACUGAGGCACGAAAGCUAGGGGAGCAAACAGG
rnacentral:rRNA from 1 species